UGAUGAAUUGGACUUUACUUGCGCAGUAUAGGUGGGAGGCGUUGAUAAUAUUCUUGCGGGAUUAUUGGAGCCAUCAGUGAGAUACCACUCUUGUAAUGUUAGAUUUCUAACUUUGUAUCAUUAUCUGGUCAAAGGACAGUUUCAGGCGGGCAGUUUGACUGGGGCGGUCGCCUCCCAAACGGUAACGGAGGCGCACAAAGGUUUCCUCUGAACGGGUAGAAAUCGUAUCUAGAGUGUAAAGGCAUAAGGAAGCUUGACUGUGAGACCUACAAGUCGAGCAGGGACGAAAGUCGGUCUUAGUGAUCUGACGGUGCUGAGUGGAAAGGCCGUCACUCAACGGAUAAAAGUUACUCUAGGGAAACAGGCUGAA
rnacentral:rRNA from 1 species